rnacentral:rRNA from 1 species
UACAGAGGGUGCAAGCGUUAAUCGGAAUUACUGGGCGUAAAGGGCACGUAGGUGGCAAAUUAAGUUGGGUGUGAAAGCCCCGGGCUUAACCUGGGAAGGUCAUUCAAAACUGGUUAGCUAGAGUAUGGUAGAGGGAAGUGGAAUUUCCGGUGUAGCGGUGAAAUGCGUAGAUAUCGGAAGGAACAUCAGUGGCGAAGGCGACUUUCUGGACUAAUACUGACACUGAGGUGCGAAAGCGUGGGGAGCAAACAGG